GUGUCAGCAGCCGCGGUAAGACAGAGGUGGCAAGCGUUGUUCGGAAUUACUGGGCUUAAAGGGCGCGUAGGUGGUGGCAUAAGUCCGAGGUGGAAGACUAAGGCUUAACCUUAGAAUUGCCUUGGAAACUGUAUCACUUGAGUCAGCGAGGGGAUGGCGGAAUUCCAGGUGUAGCGGUGAAAUGCGUAGAUAUCUGGAGGAAGGCCGGUGGCGAAGGCGGCCAUCUGGCGCUGAACUGACACUGAGGCGCGAAAGCGUGGGGAGCAAACAGGAUUAGAAACCCCAGUAGUCC
rnacentral:rRNA from 1 species